UACGAAGGGGGCAAGCGUUGUUCGGAAUUACUGGGCGUAAAGGGCGCGUAGGCGGCUCUAGAAGUCAGGCGUGAAAGCCCCGGGCUUAACCUGGGAACUGCGCUUGAUACUCCAGAGCUUGAGUUCGGGAGAGGAGAGUGGAAUUCCCAGUGUAGAGGUGAAAUUCGUAGAUAUUGGGAAGAACACCAGUGGCGAAGGCGGCUCUCUGGACCGAUACUGACGCUGAGGCGCGAAAGCGUGGGGAGCAAACAGG
rnacentral:rRNA from 1 species